AGUGAACGCUGGCGGUAGGCCUAACACAUGCAAGUCGAACGGCAGCACAGUAAGAGCUUGCUCUUACGGGUGGCGAGUGGCGGACGGGUGAGGAAUACAUCGGAAUCUACUUUUUCGUGGGGGAUAACGUAGGGAAACUUACGCUAAUACCGCAUACGACCUACGGGUGAAAGCAGGGGAUCUUCGGACCUUGCGCGAUUGAAUGAGCCGAUGUCGGAUUAGCUAGUUGGCGGGGUAAAGGCCCACCAAGGCGACGAUCCGUAGCUGGUCUGAGAGGAUGAGCAGCCACACUGGAAGAGAGACACGGUCCAGACUCCUACGGGAGGCAGCAGUGGGGAAUAUUGGACAAGGGGCGCAAGCCUGACCCAGCCAUACCGCGUGGGUAAAAAAGGCUUGGGGUUUGUAAACCCGUUUUUUGGGGAAAAAAAAGCAGCAGGUUAAUCCCCCGCUGUUCUGACGGUACCAAAAAAAAAAGCACCGGCUAACUUCGUG
rnacentral:rRNA from 1 species